CCUAUUAGUACUUUUUAUUUGCUUUAAGUACAUGAUAAAAUUAUACAUUAUUGUAAUAAUUUAUUUAAUAUUGGAAUAUGAGUAAAGUCACAGGAUCUAGUGGAAAAUACCUUAAACAAGAAAUCAGAAAACCUGGGCUCUCCUGGCUUUUCUGUUGUCUGAAAAUGUAACCUUAGAUAUUAUUUGAUAUCUGCAGUUUCCUUUUGCAACAAAAUCCUGUGAUUAUGGGAUAUACUUCUAUAAGCAAGUUAAUUCUUUAUGUGUUGAAAUUACAUUUGGAGCAAUUUUCUAGGGUUGUCUUGUGGUUUAUUGUUAAUAUAAUGAGGUAACAGUUAACUUUCCACAGAGUAGCUCACAAUUUUGCUACCAACUGCCUGAAGUUAACUUCAUAUUGUCAAUGGGCAAUAUUUAUGCAGAAUUAGAACUGUGAACCUGAUGUCACAGAAAGAUCACUAUACCAAGAUAUUCUUAAAUAUGCAUAAAGGUACAUUCCAAAGAGGCCAUGUCAUUAGCAUAAUGGAGACCAUCAACAGUCACUUCGUGACCUCUAUGAUUCUAAAAUUUACCACGGAACAUUUAGAAAUACACGACCUUUCAAUCCUUCUUUGGGUUCCUUCUCUAGACCUCUCCAUUAUUCUUGGACCUUUCUCACAUUACUUCAGAUGGUCAAGAUUUAUGUUAAGGAUUGACAGAGAGAAAAGAAAUAAUGAAAACUGCUUCAGCACUUUAUCAGGCUUUAUGAAGAACUGCAACAUCAUUCAGGCUAUGGAGAUGUGGUGUCAGGCUUGUCAGCAAUCAUGCCCUCUGCAACACAACAAGCCUUCAAAAGGUGAAAAGAGCUCUUUCUGCCUCCUAAAUAAUCCUUUCUUGGCCAGUUUUUGCCUAUUGCCUAAACAUCAGGAGACAAGUUUACCCAAAAGUCACAAAACUUUGGAAUUAGGUAAGCUUUUCAACUUGAAAGACUGUCUUCCUCCUCUAUUCCCAGUCUUUCCUGACCUUCCUGGUAUUACACACAUGGGAAGCAGAUCUACCCUGUAUGUUCUUGGAUAG
rnacentral:lncRNA from 1 species